CGUGAGUUUAGGAACUCUGCGGACUGUAAGAUGAUCUGCCCUAAGGGAUGCCUGAGAUUUCUCCCUGAGCAAGAGUAACUGAGGUCCACAGUGCGGUCAGAUGCCUUUUCCCUAAGCCAACUCAGCACAUGCCUUUCUUGAGGUGAAGCCAUCAGAGACGGAACUUCACGUCUGGGUGAGAGGACCUUCACGUGUAGAGUGCAGCAUUUGGGACCUUUUUGCAAAAGAUCAAAACGGAAUGUUUUCUGACUUUCGAGAAAACAGUGGUGAUGUCUGAAGGGACAUGGAAUGAGUGACAGAAAACUACGAACGAGAAAUGACAUUCAGCUUCGUAUAAUAAAAACACCUAUUAACAUUCAUCACAAGCAUCAAGAUCCAGGACCGUAUGCAUAAUGUGCAGAGCCCAGUGCAAAGUGAAAAUGUGUUUGAAAAAGUCGUUGAGGAUUUCGGAAACAGCUGAGCGUUAAAACUCUUAAGUGUGGGAUCCUGUGUGACUGCGUACAUCGGCGUUGCCUGGGAAGUCAGCUCUGGUAGGACCCCCUAUAUUGUUUUGGGAAGAGUUA